CAAAAACACACCUCUAUUUACAUGUUGCUUAUGAGUGCUUUUCACACUAAUUUUGGAUUAUAACUGGAUUUUAAGGCUUGUAUGAAUGUCCUGCUUAAUAUAAUGCGUCAUCAUCGGAAAUUCGACUGCAUUAUACUUCUAUUUAAAAACACUUGAACUUCAACCAGUAAAAUGGCUCUUUGUCUAGCUUUUGCUACAUGCUACAGUARGUCAAUGAACGUUAACAUUCUAGCCAACACCUGCCCCAUACAAAAUAGUUAUUUAUCAAAGUUCACAUCCAAAUAUAAUCUUAGCGACUGUUCAAGCAAGAAUCAAAACAUCACUGUAAGCGUAUAAGAACCUAAAAAGUUAUUUUGUUUUGAAGUAAUAAAAACUUAAAUUCAGGCUAUGUUCAAGGGGUGGCAGAUGGCGACCAAGAGUCGCGUGCAUCUGUGCGUGACGUCAGUGUGUCGUGUCCUGGAAAAGGGUCUAWAUCAAUCAAUAAAUCAAUCAAUAAAUCUUACCCAUCUGGUCAGAUCGAAGUCCAGCUAAGCGCAUCCGUCGCUGAGGAGAGGCGCUUCUGGAGCGGGUAGCGACUCGGUCUUUAAAUGUCUUCUUGUACUCACUGAUGCCCUGUGCAUGCUAUGUUACAGCUACUGCAAUAGCUGAGCACAGUCGAGCGGUGCUCGUCUCAAAACGAGGCUGCAACGUCAUGAGAAAACGCAAAACCUCACCCAGAGAGAAGCGACAGACCGAGCGACMAGAGGCGCUAACAGAUUGGAGCUACGGAGGAUAACUGGUGACACCAGACACAGUGAACGAUGCGUGAAUACAAGUUAGUCGUCCUGGGCUCUGGAGGCGUGGGCAAGUCUGCUCUGGUAAGUCUCCCUCUCUCUCCGUCUGUCUUCAACCCCCCUCUUUGGGUUGUACAGGGCCGUAGGUUAUCGAAAUAGAACCUAGUUCCUCCUACUGGUUUCUUAAGGCUGUAGUAUUCAGUACAGUGCUUGGUUAAGUUCCAUAGAUUACCCCGGGACCGGUGACGGUCCAUGGACCGGGGAUUGAGAAACACUACUGGAACACAGCGUUUCUCCAUCCUGGUCCUGGGGACCCAAKGAGGGGCGCAUGUCUCUGCCCCCCAACCUGGUCCUGGGGACCCAACGAGGGGCACAUGUCUCUCGUACUAACACAGUAGAUUCAACUCAUUUGAAUCAGGUGUCUGUGUGUGAGGGCAAAAAACUCAAAUGUGACCAGAGGAACUGGGUUGUAUAGUCUCUGUCUCUGACCAGAGGAACUGGGUUGUAUAGUCUCUGACCAGAGGAACUGGGUUGUAUAGUCUCUGUCUCUGACCAGAGGGACUGGGCCUUUUACAUUCUGUCUCUGACCAGAGGGACUGGGUUGUAUAAUCUCUGUAGUGCAGGRCUGGCGGUCCCUCUCUCCCAGGAGACCCGUGUCCUUAGCUGGGUCACAGAGGGGUUGUGAGAACAUCAGCUGUCAUCGUUUAGCAUUCCUUCUAUCAAUCUAUUUCUCCAUUACUAUAUCUCUCCAUCCCUCCAUCACUAUAUCCCUCCAUCCCUCCUCACCUCCCACCUCCCUCCCUCCCUCCACCCCUCCCCCCCCUCCCCCCCCAAACGCCCCUCCCUCCUGCCCUCCACCCCCCCCUCCCUCCCUCCCUCUCUAUGAUAUAGGCGAGAUAUGAAUAGAGGCCGGAGAUAUGAAUAGAGGCCGGGGAUAUGAAAUAGAGGCCGGGGAUAUAUAGAGGCCGGGGGAGAGGCCGAAUGAGCGGGAUAUGAAUAGAGGCCGGGAGAUAUGAAUAGAGGCCGGGGAUAUGAAUAGAGGAGACGGAUAUGAAUAGAGGCCGGGAUAUGAUAGAGGCCGGAUAUGAAUAGAGGCCGGGGGAUAUGAAUAAGGAGCCGGGAUUGAAUAGAGGCCGGGGAUAUAAAGGGCCGGGGAUAUGAAUAGAGGCCGGGGAUAUGAAUAGAGGCCGGAGAUAGAAAUAGAGGCCGGAGGUAGGAAAUAGAGGCCGGAGGUAGGAAUCGAGAACGGCGAUAUGAAUAGGAGGCCGACAAUAGGAAAUAGAGGCCGGAGAUAUGAAUAGAGGCCGGAAGUAAAGUAGCUCAGCCUUUUUUAGAAUGGCUAACAAUAGCAUGUUUGCUCUCCCAUGUUGUCUGAAGUGUGUUGGUAUGUCUCUACGUAGCUAACUUUCUCCUAGCGCACCAGGCAGUUAGUUCCAUCCCACUGAUCACCAACCGUGUGAGAGAGAGAGGUCCUACUGGAACACCAUGGAGUCACCUACAUGGAAGAACAAGUGCUCUUUCUUCCUCUAUAUCCCUCUACAUCCCUAUACAUCCCUCUACAUCCCUCUCAAAUCCCUCUUAUCCCUACAUCCCCUACAUCCCUCUACAAUCCCCGAUAUCCCUCUACAUC
ensembl:lncRNA